AUUGUUGUAACUUUGGCCUUCCAUAUAAUCGUAUGCUAUACUGAAAGGUACAAUUUUAUUCUUCUUGUGGCAAAUACUAGUAUUUAUGUAACAUCCUCAGAUUGUUUGCAACGUCCACUAGAGACUGUAGAGACUGCUGUUUCUUCAAACAUAGGAGCUUUCGUCGGUGUUUGCGUUGGUACUUUCGUAACCACCCUAAUUAUUGUGGCCAUUGCUUUUACCCUUUAUAGACGCCUGCGAUAUAGACGAAAGCAUACACAGAAAGAUGUAAACGAUGUUCAUGAUGCUCAUAGACAAAACACAGGCACAGGAAUUGAUAGCGAAACUUCGUUAACAUAUGAAAGUCUAGAUGACGAUAAGAAGGAAAGAAAUCUGUACAGCCAGCUUUAAGCUUCAAACGAAUAGCUUGACUAGGUCACAAAAGAAAAUAACGCUUAGUCACAUGAAAAUGGAAACAACAUCGCAUGAUAUUUCAGACUACAUCAAUUUCAAAAUAGAAAUAGAUAGUGGCAUUCAUUAGAUGAUUAAUCAAAAAUCCCUAUUGACAUAUUGACAGUUUUAAUAAUAAGUGUUUGUAAUUUACGUUGUGUGUUGUGCUGAUUCCAAUUAUCAUUACAUUUUCGAAUUUACAAAACAGUUGCCUUGGUAAAUUACCAAUGUUGAUAAAUUGUUUGUAUGCUAAGAAUAGUUAAGCUGAAACGAUCGAUCUUCAAACUAGUAUAGAUCAGAAAACUUUUGAAUAGAAAUAUAACUACACGUGUGUAUACAUUUUUCCGCAGUAAUUUAUAUUAUUAAUAAGUUAAAAGUUAUAGAAUGAUAUGAAACGUUAUAUUAUCUUAUUAACAGUGAUGUGUUGCAACACACCAUAAAUGUUUACUUCACCGAAACUAGACUUUGUGUGAAAUAUAGCGUGAAAUACAUGCGAUUGUUACUGAGAUAUUAGCAUUACCUUAUCAAAACCGUUUGUUCAAAGUCAUUUUGACAAUUCCAAAUUCAGUAAGAAUUAAGAGUUUAAGAAUAAACAGCGGAUAUUCAAUUAAAGACUAAAUGACUUUUUGAAGGAUGGUAAAAACGUGGCCCGUGUAUUACACGUAAUGGAGCUUUAUUCGAAAAUUAUUUAAAGCUUUGUAUCAUUUUUAUUAAGUUUAUACACCUAAAUAGUUUUGGAAAGCCUUCUUUGAUUAACUUAUUUCUUCAAACCACCUAUAAUCAUAAACCAUUUAUUAUAAUAAUACAUUUCCAUUAAAUUCGAUCUGACGUAUUGCAAGAGCUAAAACUUGUAAAACAUUUAAACAUUUUUAUCCUACCACUACGCAUUUAUUAGGCCGGUAUGUGCUUGCCGUGUAACUUGAUGUUUAUUCAGUCAAUAGAGGUUUAGACUGUAUGCUGAUGAUGGACAAUUUUAUCUGUUAUUUAAGCCAGCAGAGCCUGUUACUAGAAUUGAAUCCUUACAGCGAGUAGAACAUUGUUGCAAUGAAAUAAUCACCUGGAUGAAUAAAAACAUGCUGAAACUGAAUGCUGGAAAAACCGAAGUCAUUGUCUUUACAUCAAAACAAAAUGAAAAAACUCACUGAUAACAUUACAGUGAAAGUUGGUGCGUCUACCAUAACACCGCCAUCCAGCGUAAGAAACCUAGGCGCAAUCCUUGAUUCGGAAGUGGACAUGGAAAAGCAUAUAAGUGCCGUAUCAGACCAAGUUGCGUCAGAUACAACAUAUAAGGGUCUACAUUACCUCCGAUGCCACAAGGUCGAUAGUACACCCCCUGGUUACCUCACGUCUCGAUUACUGUAAUGGUCUUUUGUAUGGCAUUCCAAGGUCAUGUUUAAACAAACUUCAGAAUGUUCAAAAUGCAGCUACACGUCUAAUUACGAGAACACGCCGUAACGAGCACAUAACACCAGUGCUUAAAGAACUAUAUUGGCUUUCUGUACGUACCAAACAGGGUGGAGUUUAAGAUCCUGACCCACACCUAUAAAGCUCUUCAUGAUCAUGCCCCUAAAUACAUCAAAGACAUACUUGAUAUAUACAGACCUUCAAGAAAUUUAAGAUCACAAAAUUCAAAUUUACUUGUUGUGCAAAAUCACGUACUGUAAAAUACGGUGACAGAAGUUUCUGACAUGCUGCACCAAGACUGUGGAAUGCCCUACCUAUUGACAUAAGAAACUGUGGAACACUCUCAUCAUACAAAAAAAAUCAUUAAAAACACAUUUAUUUGUAAAAUACUUUGGACAGUGACAAUGCACAUGUGAUAGUCUGACUGUGACUUUGUCAGCUUACCAAUCUUAAUUCUUUUCUUAAUCUUGUUAUGAAUCGUAUUUUAAACAUUUCAGUGUUGUUUUCUGCGUAAAACUGUUUUAGAUGUAAUUUGUGUUUAACCAGACAAUUUGUACUAUUCGUAGUCAUAUGCAUAGAUAUAUUGCAAGUGCGAUAUUGUUUUAAUUUUCAUGUAGUAACAUGUGUUUAGCAUUUAAUCAUUUUAAUUAUUAUUUAAUUGUUUUAAACACGUAUCUUAAUUCGAAGAAUUGAUCCGUAUCAUUUGCUUUUAUUUUAAUAACUAUCUAUUGUACAUGUAUGUCCAUUCUAUUGUUAAGCAGUUGUAAGCAGUCGUAUAUUGUAAUUCUUAGAUCUAAACCAUUCUUAGUGGAAUGAUUUUUUCCUCACAUUGUCUUGCACGAAAAUGGAGUAAAUUUAAGGCAGGGACUGUGGGCAUUUAAAUUCAUCUCAAGUGUGGUUUUCAGCUGCAUUUUAUCAAGGUCAACGCCACUUUGCUUGUUAUAUUUUUUACACGAAUGCCCUGCUUGUUUUUUUUUUACACGAAUGCCAUGCUGACACUUAAAAAGGCUAUGAUUUAUAAUACACAGAAGGCAAAGCAUGAGGUAAGGAAUAAUGUUUUAUUGUAAGGAAUCGUGUGUAAUAACUGAAUCAAGCAUGUUCGUAGGAAUUUACAAAUGAGUAGAAUUCUGUGUGGAUUAUUUUUGUAUAAACUUUUCUACAACUUUGUGGAUAAACUUAAGUUAAGAAAGACAGUAACCUAAUAUUCUCUAUAUAUCUCUUCAGUUGCUGUAUCAAACUUGACAAAAAAGUGUCAUAACUCAUGCCUGUUGAACGAUCUAUAGAUAUAUAAAGACAUAUAAUAUACAGUUAUGAAAUAAAUACAAAUUACAUUUAUGGUCAAAAACAGUUAAUCUAUCUAUUAUUUAUCAGGUUUUCAAGAUACCUCUGAAACCCACCGUUUAAGUAAAUUUACCGAUGAAGAUAACAUCUCCAUAAAAGUUUAUUUCAUAAUAUUACUUUACAUAAGACAGCUACACACUUUAGAAAUCAUUCAGUCUCAAAACAAAAAUAUAAAACUUUUGAUCAUUACUAUCAUUAUUUUAAGACUCCGGUUACCAUAAUCCAAUACACUUGGUUCGAUUCCCGAACAGCUUGGUCUGCUUUGCGUAAUAGGUGUUUAUGGUGGCCAUUCAUGUACAUUUUGGGGAAUCUCAUACCCAAACGGAAGACUAGGUCUCCCAACAAUAAUUAAAACACAACAACUUUACUUCAAUUAAAGACAUCAUGUUAUUAUUAUUAUUAUUCAUAUCGGGCAAAUACCCACACAGUGAUAAAUUUAUUACAACUAGCACUAUGAAUUGUCACUUAUUUAAAACAGUCAGUGUCAAUAUGCUUAUUUCAAUAGAUAGAUCCUCUGCGGUACCAAAUAGGUGACAGAGAGAUCAGAUCCUCCGCGGUACCAUAUAGGC